rnacentral:rRNA from 1 species
GACGAACGCUGGCGGCGUGCUUAACACAUGCAAGUCGAACGGAAAGGCCUUUUCGGCGGUACUCGAGUGGCGAACGGGUGAGUAACACGUGGGUGAUCUGCCCUGCACUCUGGGAUAAGCCUGGGAAACUGGGUCUAAUACCGGAUAGGACCGCACUUUAGUGUGUGUGGUGGAAAGUUUUUUCGGUGUAGGAUGAGCCCGCGGCCUAUCAGCUUGUUGGUGGGGUAAUGGCCUACCAAGGCGGCGACGGGUAGCCGGACUGAGAGGUUGGUCGGCCACAUUGGGACUGAGAUACGGCCCAGACUCCUACGGGAGGCAGCAGUGGGGAAGAUUGCACAAUGGGCGCAAGCCUGAUGCAGCGACGCCGCGUGGGGGAUGACGGCCUUCGGGUUGUAAACUCCUUUCGCCAGGGACGAAGCGUUUUGUGACGGUACCUGGAGAAGAAGCACCGGCUAACUACGUG